UGGAGGUCCAGGGAGAGCGCUGGCACCAGCCCAGCCUCCCUGCCGGAGGAAGGGAAUCUGGGUCACAGAUCCUCUCUGAGAACAAGCACAUCUGAUGCUGCCAAGGGAAACAAACUGGCAGGAGAAAGGGGAACAAACUGGAAAGCAACAGGAGGAUGGGGAGAAGUAACUCAGGGAUUGAAACAAGGACACCCCGGGAAAGUUCCUCUUCAUCAGCACUUUAAAAUAUAUUGUUUUGAGUUGGAAUGACUGUCACAAAAGAUGAAAUUAAUAAGUUAAUGCAGGCCAUCAUAAAUAUUGAUAAAUUCCAGUCACAGCAUUCUGCAAAGUUUCUUCUGAGCCGUACAGUCCUCACUGCUUUGCCUGGCAAAGAUGACACAGAAAUUUGAUGUGUCCUACACCUCCAAGUUUAUGACCACUCUAAAAAACACAUUUUCCCUUGAAAAUAAGCUUUGUAGGUGGCUGCCAAUUGUCCAAAAACAGAGUGGCUCACUGCUGGCUGCAAUUGAAGGAAGAAAGGAUAUCUGUGGUUAUUUGUGAAUACUCUCUGUACUAUCACAACACCAGUAUGUGUGGGAGUCCUUGUCUGCUCCUGAAGUCUGAAGCAAUUUUGGAACCUCUGCCACCAAAGGUAAAUAAUCCCAAGGAAGACGCUUGUUUCUCUAAUAGGAUCCUGUUCACUCUCCUCAAGGGCUGGAGCACAACCCUCAAGGCCAAAGCCAAGCAAUAAAGUGAACUUUAACCUUUGGCUUAGAAGAACAGGCAUGUUUGAAAAGAAAAGCCGUGGAAACAUUUCUUGAAGUCACUGAUAUCAUGCCUAAGGUGGUCCACACACUUUCACCUAAGAGGAAACCAGCAGCUCUAGCAAAGGAAUGUCUCUCCUUGGUGCCUACAUCACCUUUGUGUGGUGACAGGUGAAAAAAAAAAACCCACUCUAAAACCUAAGACGUAUAUUAACAGCAACAGUUAACAAAUUGUAUUAUCUGUUCAGCUAAAGGCAGAAAAAAUAUUACAGAAGGAAAAAAAUCAGUAUUGUUAUUUUAAAGGAAAUCCAAAUUAUGAUAUUAGCUUUCCCAGACUGAUAAUCUAAAGCAAACAAACCCAAAGCAAUUUAUUUCGUAUGACAAAAAAAAAAGUAUUAUGAGAAAAAGUACUCAUAUAAAUCAACAGGAAUAACAGCAACACCCAAAGACAUAAAGAGAGGUUUGUCAUUGUAUAGGAGACAAAAUACUUCACAGACCACAGGGAAGGGAAGGUCAUCUAUCAGAAAGCUUCAGACAAUAUGAACAAUUUACAAACUGCAACCAGCAGGAAGAGGAAGAUACACAAUGAAAUGAAAUGCCAUGAAACGGCUUCAUCAGCUGAACUUCAAAUUAAACUGAAAAUGUCAGAAUUAAUGAAGAUUAUCCACUUUA